rnacentral:rRNA from 1 species
GACGAACGCUGGCGGCGUGCUUAACACAUGCAAGUCGAGCGAUGAAGUUUCUUCGGAAAUGGAUUAGCGGCGAACGGGUGAGUAACACGUGAGGAAUCUGCCCUACACUUUGGAAUAACUCCGGGAAACCGGAGCUAAUACCGGAUACGAACUCUGGCGGCAUCGCCGGAGUUGGAAAGUUUUUCGGUGAAGGAUGACCUCGCGGCCUAUCAGCUUGUUGGUGAGGUAAUGGCUCACCAAGGCGACGACGGGUAGCCGGCCUGAGAGGGUGACCGGCCACACUGGAACUGAGACACGGUCCAGACUCCUACGGGAGGCAGCAGUGGGGAAUAUUGCACAAUGGGCGAAAGCCUGAUGCAGCAACGCCGCGUGAGGGAUGAAGGCCUUCGGGUUGUAAACCUCUUUUAGCAGGGAAGAAGCGAAAGUGACGGUACCUGCAGAAAAAGCACCGGCUAACUACGUGCCAGCCGCCGCAGUAA